GCCAGCUUGGUGUAAUGGUUUCAGUGUUGGACUAUGACUCUGGAGACCAGGGUUUGAUUCCCAGCCUUGCCA